AACGAACGCUGGCGGCAGGCUUAACACAUGCAAGUCGAACGCACCGCAAGGUGAGUGGCAGACGGGUGAGUAACACGUGGGGAUCUGCCCAAUGGUACGGAAUAGCUCCGGGAAACUGGAAUUAAUACCGUAUGAGCCCGCAAGGGGAAAGAUUUAUCGCCAUUGGAUGAACCCGCGUCGGAUUAGCUAGUUGGUGUGGUAAAGGCGCACCAAGGCGACGAUCCGUAGCUGGUCCGAGAGGAUGAUCAGCCACACUGGGACUGAGACACGGCCCAGACUCCUACGGGAGGCAGCAGUGGGGAAUAUUGGACAAUGGGCGCAAGCCUGAUCCAGCCAUGCCGCGUGAGUGAUGAAGGCCUUAGGGUUGUAAAGCUCUUUCGCCGACGAAGAUAAUGACGGUAGUCGGAGAAGAAGCCCCGGCUAACUUCGUGCCAGCAGCCGCAGUAAUAC
rnacentral:rRNA from 1 species